rnacentral:sRNA from 1 species
GCCAGGUGUGGUGGAGCACACCUGUUAUCCCAGCAGCUUGGGAGGCUGAGGCAGGAGGAUCGUGAGUUCAAAGUCACCCCCAACAACUUACUGAGGCCCUAAGCAAUUCAGUGAACCCUGUCUUAC